rnacentral:rRNA from 1 species
UACGUAGGGGGCAAGCGUUGUCCGGAUUUAUUGGGCGUAAAGAGCGUGUAGGCGGCCUGAAAGGUCAGCUGUGAAAACUCGAGGCUCAACCUCGAGACGUCGGUUGAAACCAUCUGGCUAGAGUCCGGAAGAGGAGUGUGGAAUUCCACGUGUAGCGGUGAAAUGCGUAGAGAUGUGGAGGAACACCAGUGGCGAAGGCGGCUCUCUGGUCUGUAACUGACGCUGAGGCGCGAAAGCGUGGGGAGCGAACAGG